AUUGAACGCUGGCGGCAUGCCUUACACAUGCAAGUCGAACGGCAGCACGGGAGCAAUCCUGGUGGCGAGUGGCGAACGGGUGAGUAAUAUAUCGGAACGUGCCCAGUCGUGGGGAUAACGUAGCGAAAGCUACGCUAAUACCGCAUACGAUCUAUGGAUGAAAGCGGGGGAUCGCAAGACCUCGCGCGAUUGGAGCGGCCGAUAUCAGAUUAGGUAGUUGGUGAGGUAAAGGCUCACCAAGCCGACGAUCUGUAGCUGGUCUGAGAGGACGACCAGCCACACUGGGACUGAGACACGGCCCAGACUCCUACGGGAGGCAGCAGUGGGGAAUUUUUGGACAAUGGGCGCAAGCCUGAUCCAGCAAUGCCGCGUGCAGGAUGAAGGCCUCGGUUGG
rnacentral:rRNA from 1 species